GCUGGGAAUACAUGUGUGAGCCACCACGCCCAGGCAAUCAGGGAAAGAGAAACAAAAUCCAUGGUGGAUCAAGCUGAUGAAAAACAGCUAAUGUGUCCUGAAAUCAGUUGGCUGAACCAGUGAGGUUCAUCACCCUUUUCUUGGGUUAUAUUUGCUCAUAAUGUGAAGUUAGUUUGAGAUUUUGAAAGCAGUUUGGAAGAAUCACUCAUGGUCACAGUCUAUUUGCAAACCUAUCAACGCUGGAGAUUUGAUGCUGUCACUGAGGUACACACUGCUCAAAGCAACACAGAAAUUCUGGCAGGGUCUACGCAUGGCAGGGGCUGGAAGGGACCUGCCCAGAUUCCAUGAGAACACGCAGAUCAGGGCAGCUCUCUGUGGAGGCAUCCUGCGGCACCAGAGUAUUUAGGAGAGAUACAAAACCCCAUUAAUUUUACAAGCAUGGCAAGAGCACAGCCUCAGCAGCGGCAGCGUCAUCAUUUGGUUGACAGAAAGCACAUGUUUUUGCACACAUGGACUUCAAAAUAGCCACAUCAAAACAAAAAUGUGUUUCCAACAGCCCAGCAUGUGGCAUGGACUGAAGUUUUAAUUGGUAAGCAUAUGGUGAAAACCAGCAAGGGCCCCUCCUGGCGGCUUCAUUACAGACAGGGACAUGGGGUCAGUUGGCUGCCAUAAGCCUGUGUCUACUCACCACCCCAGGGAUCUGGGCAAAGUAGGGAGGCUCUGUGAUUGAUGGCUAUUUGACUUCAGCCUGCGGGUGUGCACUGCCAUGUUCCAUUCCACUGAACAUGCAGGACUCUACCCAAGCAGCGGCUCUGGCCCUGAUUAGGCUGCCUGGGCAGGUGUGCUAACAGACACGCGAGCUCUGGAAAAGCCACACUCUUGUGGGGGAGGAGUACAAUUUCAUCCCAAUACACUAGGGCCUAACUUCUUGGAAUCAGGUAUUUCAAUUUGUGAUUUCAACCACUGGGGUGGUAUCUUUUUUUCAUGACUGCUGGGGAGGUAGUAAUCGGCAAAGUCAUCUCCUGCCCAGAAUACAUGACUCAGUGUCUACAAGGUCUGAUUGCAAAUCUGAGGCCAUCCUAAUGAUGAACAAAUUAAAUAACUGUCACACACAUUCAAGUCAAGCAAAACUGCCAGGGUCCACGGCAGAGCCCUUCUCUAGCUGUCUUAAUCAAACACAGGAAAGUUGUCUGAGGGCCAAGACCUUGCCUUCCUCUCCUGCUGGAGGGCCCCAGCGUGGUCCUGGGGCCAGCGUCUGCUCACAGCAUUCUUACUGAUACUCAGGAAGCACCCAGGACAGCCCUGAGACUCCACACCGAACUCCAGAACAUUUCUCCUCCCCUUUCCCAUUAUCUUUCAGCAGGAUUUCCCUCACUCAUACUUCUCUCCGUGCACACACACACACACACACACACACACACACACACACACACACAGUUCCUUCUGAGUGUCUCUAAGCCAGGUCUGCUGCCCUCUGGGAAAAUGCAGGAAAACGUCUCAUUUAUACCCACCAAGUCCCGAGGAAACGGGAGAAACCAUAUAAUCCUGUAGGAAAAGUCCUAAAGGGAGCUAUGACCUUUGGCAACAACUAGGGAGAAAAGGUGCUUGUUUCCCUCCUAGGAAUGUUUACAACUUCUCACUGUUACCAGUCCCAGAAUUUAAUGAGCCUUUCUCUGGCCUGAAAAUGUGGUGUUGGUGGUGAAAGACAGACACAGCGACCCAUGAGACUGACCUAGCUCUGUCACAGAGGCUAGAGAGAAGCAGAUUAGAGAGGAUCCUGAACAACCUGCCGUGAUAUCCGUGUGGCAAAAGUGAGUGAGCUCUGCCACCAGUGGGCACAGGGAAACCCCCACCUCUCAACUGCCAGCAGACACAAUAACGAAAAUACUUUUGUAAGAGUGAUGGAUGUGUAAGAUAAAAUGCACGGUGCCCUGGGAAGGCAUGGCAAGGGUCUUUGGCAAGGCCUGGAACGUAAGUCUCUGUGGCAAAAUGAUGUUUGAGUCUCAAGGGGUAAAAAUGAGUUAAAAGGGGGGAAAUGCUGAGAAUGCCCUGGGCAGAGGGAAGUGCACAUGCAGGCACCCAGAGCCCACUGCGUGCCGGAGGGAAUGAAAGCUGCGUGGCCUGGCAGGAGGAGUGAGAGGAGGUUUGGGUGGUUGUCAGGGGCCAGGGCAACCAGCGCUGUGUGUUGAUGGAGGGAUCUGGGACUUUACUCUAAGGACAGUGAUGUCUGCUCUGUGUUUCAUUUUGUCUGAGGUGAGCCCUGUCUCCACCUGCAUCACAGGCAAGCAAGGCUUUCUGCUGGGAACAGCUUGGGUGUGCCUGCGAGCUGUGGAGUGAGGCCCCUAGUCAGUGUGGAAUCAAGAGUCCACGAAGCAAACCUUAGAGAGAGAGACAGAGGAGGAAGAGGUGAACACCAAUCAGUGGAGCUCAAGAGAAAAAGAAAAUAAAAACACAGCACCACUGGAAGAACACAUGGGUAAGGGACUGAGACUCUGAACAGCAGGAGGUUUUUCCAUCCCAGACAUCAGCUGGGGGAGGAACCGUGUUCACACCGGAGCGGGGCAGGGAGUUCCGCAGGGCUGCUGGCUCCCUUUGAGGAAUGGUUACUGAGCACUUCACAGGAACUGCCUUCCGAAGCCCUCACGAUCUCUCUAUGGGGAGGGCUCUGGUAUUACCCUCAGAAAGCUGAGGCCAGGAGAGAACAGUGAAGGCCCGUGCCAGGGUGGCCAGGCAGGAAGGAGCAGAGUGUCCCUUCCCCAGCAUGUAAUGCCUCUAAGCAUCUUCAAGGGAGGCUCAGGAGUGACUGUGAUACCCCAAACCCAGCAGGUCAAGAGAUGCCACGGCUCACCAUGCUUGUCCAUAACCACCCUGGAUGGAGGAAGGACACAAAGAUCUGAUUGCAUCUCCUGGGCUGUGCAAGGGAGGAGGGGAACUGCAGGAAGGACUUGGGCCAGGUGCCCAGGCAACCCUUCUCCUAGCAGUGGGCGUGCAUUUGGAAAUAAAAGGAAGACAUGGCAAGGAAUGCCUGGUAACAUUACAGGCAUCCAAAACUGGGAUCUGUCUUCCUGGGUCACAGCCCAAGAGCGCAGAUCGAUGGGGUCUCAGCAUCGCUAGGAUGCACUUAGCAAAGACCAGAAAAAUGUGUUUGGCCAGAGCCUGCACUGACCUGGCUCCGAGGGCUUGCAGCUAGAUUUGAAGGUUGGGGUAGGGGGAAUAGAAGGGCCAAAGAAGAAAAUCAACACUAAACUGCAUAAAAGGAUGUGGUAAUGGAUACUUUCUGCAAGGUGGAAGAAGUAAUAGAAAAGAAGGGGUCCAGGGUAUCCUCAAAGAGACAUAACAGGGUACUGGGCUGUCACCAACCACCCUGUGGGGAAGGACCCAUAACCAGAACACAGCCACUAAAAGGAAUUCUUCACCCCAAAGAAACAGACAUUACUGGAGUGAGUGGGGUUUGGGAAACCAGGAUGGGAACCCAUCAACAUGAGAACCCAUGGAAGGGGGGAGAAACUAAGUGCUUUUCUUAGGUGUAAGAAUAUAAAGGCUGCCCCGUCAGAUGGAGAAUGUGACCAUGCUUUCCUCAUGCAGGUCGCAAAAUGAGGAGAGAAAUGAGGAACGAGCCGGCCUGAGGACUUCGGCCAGCUGGUCCCUGUAUGAAGUCCGCCAGGGCAGACCAUCACUCACACAAUCUUGUUUUCUUUGUCCCUCCCAAAUCCCAACACCAACUCCUCAUCUGGUCCCCAAAACCUCACUGGACAUCAGGUCCUGCUUGCCUAAGUGCAGUAAAAAUCAAACUUACUACAUAUUGAGCACCUUCUACACCCAGAUGCUGUACCAGGAAUCAUAUUACAUCAUCCUCUUUGGUUCCCACACCUACAAUAUAAAGUGAAGAUUGAUGUCCCCAUGUGAGAAAUAAGGAAACAUGUUCAGAGAGGUUAAGCAACUUGCCCAGAGCUACACAGUAGGCUGGCUACUCUCUGACUGUUUGAUCCAUGCUCUGUUCUGCUCUGUGCCUGAGGAUGCUGACUCCCGCACAGAACACCAGCUGUAUUUGCUCUCCCUCUCCCUGGCUCAGCCCCUGGAAGUUCUAGCAAAGGUAGGAAGAAGGAAACUGGGAUAUUAACACCCCUGCUUCCUUCACGUAGGGCCUUAGUUUGGCAGAGGUUGUCAGGCCACUGUUUCUGUCCCUUGGUCUCUCUCCUCUGGCCACAACUCUUACCAAGUCCUAGUCAUUCACCAAGUUUCUUCAGGCCUGAAGGUGGGAACAGUGUCCCACGACCGCUAGUCUCUGGGUGAAGCAUCACCACAUUUUGAUGGUCCCAUGACCUCCCUAUACCUCUGUAAACAGUCCCUUCACUGAAUAUAUUCAGCAACCCUCUGACCAACAGGACCUCACUGCUAAGCAGAGCUCAUGCUAGCAGAGCUUGCAUUUGAACCUGGAUUGGCUGGACUGCAAAGCUCGGGCUGUUAAUCACAGGGCUAUACUGUGUGGUGGGUGACUUAAGCAAUCAAGAAGUACAUAAUCAUUCCUGGAAUUAAGCGUGUACGCACACGUGCACACACACACGCGCACACACACACAGUGGGCAGGAAUGUUUCAAUGUUGCUUUCAUCCACGUCCCUGACAGCCGAGUUCAGAGUGUCCAAUUAGAAUUUCUGGUUAUGCAAUUUUUCUUUGAAGUGAUAAAUUGGUGGUAGAAAGUUCUGAACUUGAUACAUCUCUGGGUGGCUUCAGUUGAUUUCAAUCUGUGGUAGUGUCUAGAUGACUCUGCCAGGACUUGGCUUUCUGGCAGGUCUUAUGAAACCAAGGGCUGGGCCAGCCAGUUCUAUAAUAGUUGCUCCAAACUGUGUAGAUUCCAGGGACCUCCCCAGCUCAGAGCUAAUAACUAACACGAUUGACUACAGACGUGUGUUUUAAUCACAGAAAUCUGAAAAAGGUCCCAAGAGAAAAAAGCUUACAACUUUCAAAAUCUUUUAGACUUUGCCUUUGGUGUUAGACCAGUUCUUCCUAGGUUGUUCACUUGGAUUCACUCUAGAGCAAGGUUUCUCAGCCUGGGUACCUGGGUAUUCUAGGUUGAAUAAUUCCUUCUUCUGGGAGACUGUCUCAUGAGCUGCAGGAUGUUUAGCAGAAUCCCUGGUUUCUACUCACUAGAGGCUUCAGCACCAACCUUCCACUUCUCCUCUGCUAUUGUGGCAACUGAAAAUGUCUCCAGACACUGCCAAAUGUCCCCCAGGAGAGCAAACUCACCCCUGGUUGAGAAUCACUGCUCUACAGGAAUAGUUGCAUGAGGAUGGGCACAAACUCAGCUUCACAAAAGAAAUUCUACUCAAGCCUCACAAAAGAGACAGCUUAUCACUUGCAAAAUACUGAUUCAAUAGCCUAAUUUUUAUGCCUUAAAAGUUAAGCCAUGCUUUGUCCUCAAGUUUCAGAGUUUGAUUUUCCAGAGGUUCAGACCUAAGCCCCACUGAAGAUGACUUCAGAGAUGGCUUAGGCCUGAACCUGCUUGACCCGAACAAUUUUGACCAUGUAUAGUCAAAAUUACCUUCAAAAGUCCCUUUGGACAGUGCUACCUUAUAGAUCCCAUAACUUCUCCAUGGUUUUGACAAUCACGGUUUUAAUUUAGCGUCAGUGGAACUCCUUAAGUGCUGGGAUUGCAUUCAUGGGCUGUGUUACCCCCAAAUACAAAUCUGUAAACUCUAAACUCACAUUUGAAGCAGCAAAUUGUUCAUACGACAAGGGGCACGUUGGAAUCAGGAAUGGUUCAAGGAAAAGAAGAAAAGAUCUAUGCUCCUUGUGGUCAUGCUCCCUCAGGGACAUGCACUUAAUAUGAAUGUUAGACAGGAUUAAAAGCGCUAUUUAAAUUAGAAUUUCCACUUCCCACUCUUGCCCCUCAGAUUACGCUUCUGAUUAAGUUCACUUGCUUAAAUAUGUAUAUAAUGCUACUGUAGUAUCAUACAGGAUAAAAAAGAAGCAAUUUCAGGUUCAAUUAUUCUCAUAUUGAUAACAUAUAGGGUGACUAUUCUAUUAGAGUCAGAUCCUCAGAAAGAAAUGGCCCAGAUAUGUCAACUCUCUGUAAAAGUUUCCUCUCUAUUAAUUAUACCAACAUCAUUUAUUCAGUCCUUAUGGAGUGGCCUGCAUAGUCAAAGAUGUGUCCUCCACCCAUGGCUCAUGUAAUAAAUUUCUUCCUGGGUAGAGAG
rnacentral:lncRNA from 1 species